rnacentral:lncRNA from 1 species
ACUUUUAUUCUACAAACAACAUCAUUCUGGAUUGUGACAUUAGUAGUGAACGUAAUAUUCAAAUUGGAUUCCAAAAGAUUUCCGGAUACAGAUAAAGAUAACAGAUUGGACUCAUAUUUUGACAGUUAAGUUAACAGUAAUAUUUGUGUAAUACCUUUUGUAAACUUUUGUAUAUUAAAUAUUGUUAAAUUUUACUAUUGAUUUGUGUCUUUUGUUGGCUACAAUUUAAAGGCGAUUUCUGGCCGUAACAGAA